CCCCCGUGAGCCUCUACCGGUGAGGAAGGUCCCGGAGCAGCAGUGGAUGAAGAGCGCCCGACUUCUGAUGAAGAAGAGGAGCCAGGUGGGCAGCAGAUGGCGCAAGAGAGGAGCCGAGGCUGCAGGUAUGUCAGCAGAGGGGAGGAAAGAAGAGGAGAGGAGGAGGGAGGCCAAAUUAAGAGUGACAUGUCACAAACAACAUGAGAGGAGAGGGUAGGAGAGGAGGUGGAGGGGCAAAACUAGGCAUGACUUCUCAUGUAAAGAAGAGACCUGAGAGGAAAUGAGGAGAGGAAGGGAGGAGGCAAUAAUUAAGUUUGACCUCUCACAAAAAAAGGUAUGCAUCAUUUAAUGUUAUCACCACGUUUCGUUAAAUUGAGUUCAUUUGUGAACGGGGUGGCGCAGUGGUCUGUGCAUCUGAUCAUCAGAUCAAGGGGAGUGCUGGGGAACUCCAGUUCGAAACCCGCUCCUGCCGCCACUGCGUCAGGCCGUUGUGUCCUUGGGCAAGACACUUCACCCGGAUUUGCUCCUGUGGGUAAUGUCCACAGUACAUGUAUGAUAUCAAUGUGUACUUGUAAAAGCGCCUCGAUGACUUCGAGGCGUGAAGAUGGACGGUGUGGCGCAGUGCGCUGUGCAAUGAUCAUCAGAUCAAGGGGUGAAACCUGCCGCUGCUACGUCUGUAAAGCCAUUGUGUCCUUGGGCAAGACACUUCACCUGAACUUGGUCCUGUGGGUAUUGUCCACAGUUGUCCCAUUGCAUGUAUGAUUAUGUGUAAUGUGUAUUUGUAAA